UUUCCAGCUUAAUUUUGGCUUCAUUCUUUCACUUUCACUUAUUUAUGCCAAUGAUUUAUAAUUUAUUUAUUAUUCACUGCAAUAUUUGUUAUUGUAUUCAAAUCCCUAUUUAUCUAAAUGCUUAAUUUCUGCAUAAUUUGUGUAUAAUUUAUCUAACUGCUUCUUAUAUUAUUUGGUUUGAAUGCAUGUUCAUCUCUGGCUAACAAAUUUAUUAUUGAAUAAAAUAAGAAUUAAUUUUAUAUCAUUCUCUUCCUUAAUUAAUUUUAUUCUUAAUGAUGGACCUAGGCACCUAGCUAGCUAAUUAAUUAAAGCUUAAUUAGCUUAAUUAGGCAACAUGUUAAUUAUUGUUGACAUUAUAGCCCUGAUGACACACCUUACAGAAUUUCCUGUUGAAAUUAUAGCCUGUAUGUUUUUCAUUUUGUUGAGAUUUUGGAUAUUCACAUGUCUAUGGUUUAUUAAAUUGGGAUUACAUACGAAUCAUGUGAUUAUAGAAAUGCAUUUACAAGUCAAAAAGAGUAAUCCUAAUGGAUCUUUAAUCCUCUAUUUUUGUAAUAAUCACACAUUAAUUAUAUAUUGUUAUAAAGCAUACCUCAGGUGCAAUGGUAAGACCAAAUAACUUUUGGCAGCUCUUAGUCUUACAAUUUUUUGCAGUGUCCCUCACCUUUACAACAGAAUAUAUGUUGGAUAAUGGUGGUGAGAUGAUAAUUAUUCCUGAAGUACUUUCCAGUACUGAGUUUGAGAUACUGCUAAAUUUGCCCUCCACCCUUGGGGCCAGUUGGAACAAAAUGAAAAUGGGUCAUUAUUUUGUUUGUUUGCAAGGCUUCAGGCCUGAAUGUAGUUUAAUUAUUAAAUUCACAUGGCCAAAAAGAAAAGUGUAGGGGUGUACCAUAAGGCUUGGACUAUCACUCAAAGGUUUUCCCAUAUGGCCAUAUGUGCUUUGUUUGCAAUUCUUUAUGUGCAUCCAAGAUGACUUAUGCAGUAUGGAUUUUAAUCAGGAAAGUGCAUGCAAAUAUUUGAUAAUUUAAAUAAAAAAAAAAAAGAACUGCCUAAGAUUAUCAUGCCAGUUGUUUAUUUUUAUGUAAACAUUUUAGUUUAUCUUGAGGACAUUGAGUAAAUUAUCCAUAUCUGAUUCUCUUUAUCUGCUUUUUUUAUUUUUUCUGAAAGCAUAUGUUCUUUACCUUUCUUCUUCUUCCAUGCCUGCCUUCUUUGUAUUUAUUUGGCUCUUUUCCUCAGCUACUUGUAGUUGAUGAUAUCCCAUAUGUUUGAGGUCUUUCUUUUGCCACUUUUUUUUCAACACUAUCCAUAUGUGACUCUCUUUAUCUGUGCAUUGACCUUGCAUGUUUAGUUCAAACAUCAAUUUAUUAUUAGAAUUGAUGAAAUUGAAGAAAUUUCCAAUAGCGUGCUAUGUUAAGAAAAAUGAUAAUUUUGUUUGAAGUUUUAUAAUUCAAAUGGUACCUUGGCUGGUGUAUGCUUUGUUAAGACUGUGGCUUACACAAAUCAUAUUGUUCUGCUUGAGGCACUGGAGAAAUGGAGUUAUGAGCUGAUGGAGAAGCUGCUCCCUAGACACUAUAGAGAUUAUAGAGAUGAUAGACGAGCAGCUUAUGUUUAUUGCAAACUUGUUUACCAAACCAAAGGAAACGUCUACUAAACAUAAGAUGGUGAAACUGCGCAAGUUUGCAGAUAAUGAAGAUCUUCAAAUAGAGUAGAGGGCUGCAAAAAGAAGCAACAAAGUUAAGGUUGCCUCAUUCAUAAAAGAAAGGACAGGGUAUUCAGUUAGCCCCCAAUGCAAUGUUUGAUAUCCAGAUGAAAGAAAUGAGCGCACUAGAAAGAAAAGCUAAGUUUGUUCCUCAAGUAUGCAUAUUUGGAGGAAAAGCUAAGUGUGUGCAGUACUGCCGGAAUAGAGGCCAGUGGAAUCAACAAUAUGAAAUUUGCCGUGAAUGGUUGCAUCUUCUAGUAGAGGAUAAGUUUGAUUUUAAUAUAAUGUGAAUGUUCUAACAUUGAGUGUAGUUUUGUAACAAGUGCUUAAGUGCUUCCAACUUAUUAGAUUUUGUGUAUUAAUAUAUUUGAUACCGUUUCUAACGAUGUAACACUCGACAAUGUUAUAUUUUUUUUAAUGUUAUUGAGUUUGAUUUCUUAAUA